CUGCCGCCGCGGUAAUACGUAGGUCCCGAGCGUUGUCCGGAUUUAUUGGGCGUAAAGCGAGCGCAGGCGGUUAGAUAAGUCUGAAGUUAAAGGCUGUGGCUUAACCAUAGUACGCUUUGGAAACUGUUUAACUUGAGUGCAGAAGGGGAGAGUGGAAUUCCAUGUGUAGCGGUGAAAUGCGUAGAUAUAUGGAGGAACACCGGUGGCGAAAGCGGCUCUCUGGCCUGUAACUGACGCUGAGGCUCGAAAGCGUGGGGAGCGAACAGGAUUAGAUACCCGCGUAGUCCCUGUCUCUUAUACA
rnacentral:rRNA from 1 species